CAAUAAGAGUGUUUAUGGCACUCUUCAAAAAAUCCAUACCCACCUGUGUGCAACGUAAGAAGAAAAAAAGAAGAUGCGAGUCAUGGGGAAACCCAAGUCUUGCUCCCUUUCUUUUUUCUUUUCCACAUACACCUUUCUAUUAGUUCCUAUUGUCUGAAGCUGUUAGAGAAUGACUAAUUCUUAAACA
rnacentral:misc_RNA from 1 species